UACGUAGGGUGCAAGCGUUAAUCGGAAUUACUGGGCGUAAAGCGUGCGCAGGCGGUUAUGCAAGACAGAUGUGAAACCCCCGGGCUCAACCUUGGAACUGCAUUUGUUACUGCAUGGCCAGAGUACGGUAGAGGGGGAUGGAAUUCCGCGUGUAGCAGUGAAAUGCGUAGAUAUGCGGAGGAACACCGAUGGCGAAGGCAAUCCCCUGGACCUGUACUGACGCACAUGCACGAAAGCGUCGGGAGCAAACAGGAUUAGAUACCCUGGUAGUCCACGCCCUAAACGAUGUCAACUGGUUGUUGGGAGGGUUUCUUCUCAGUAACGAAGCUAACGCGUGAAGUUGACCGCCUGGGGAGUACGGCCGCAAGGUUG
rnacentral:rRNA from 1 species